CCUACGGGUGGCAGCAGUGGGGAAUAUUGGACAAUGGGCGAAAGCCUGAUCCAGCCAUGCCGCGUGUGUGAAGAAGGCCUUCGGGUUGUAAAGCACUUUCAGUGGGGAAGAAAGCCUUGGGGCUAAUACCCUCGAGGAAGGACAUCACCCACAGAAGAAGCACCGGCUAACUCCGUGCCAGCAGCCGCGGUAAUACGGAGGGUGCGAGCGUUAAUCGGAAUUACUGGGCGUAAAGCGCGCGUAGGCGGUCUGAUAAGCCGGUUGUGAAAGCCCCGGGCUCAACCUGGGAACGGCAUCCGGAACUGUCAGGUUAGAGUGCAGGAGAGGAAGGUAGAAUUCCCGGUGUAGCGGUGAAAUGCGUAGAGAUCGGGAGGAAUACCAGUGGCGAAGGCGGUCUUCUGGACUGACACUGACGCUGAGGUGCGAAAGCGUGGGUAGCAAACAGGAUUAGAUACCCCUGUAGUC
rnacentral:rRNA from 1 species